rnacentral:rRNA from 1 species
AGAGUUUGAUCCUGGCUCAGAACGAACGCUGGCGGCGUGCUUAACACAUGCAAGUCGAACGCGAAAAGUUUUCUUCGGAAGACGAGUAGAGUGGCGCACGGGUGAGUAAUGUAUAGCUAACCUGCCCUUUAGUGGGGACAACAGUUGGAAACGACUGCUAAUACCCCAUACUCCUUCUUAUCAUAAGGUAAGUUGGGAAAGAUUUAUUGCUAAAAGGAUGGGGCUUUAUGGUAUCAGCKAGUUGGUGGGGUAAUGGCCUACCAAGGCGAUGACGCCUACCUGGUCUGAGAGGAUGAUCAGGCACACUGGAACUGAGACACGGUCCAGACUCCUACGGGAGGCAGCAGUGGGGAAUAUUGCACAAUGGGGGAAACCCUGACGCAGCAACGCCGCGUGGGUGAAGAAGGCCUUCGGGUCGUAAAGCCCUUUCGGACGGGACGAACGCUCACCGGUGACAAGCCGGGGGAGCCUGACGGUACCGUAGGAAGAAGCACCGGCUAACUCCGUGCCAGCAGCCGCGGUAAUA